rnacentral:tRNA from 1 species
ACAGUGGUGGUUCAGUGGCAGAAUUCUGGCCUUCCAUGCGGGAGACCUGGGUGCCAUUCCUGGCCAAUGCA